GAGCGAACGCUGGCGGCAGGCUUAACACAUGCAAGUCGAGCGGGCACUUUCGGGUGUCCGCGGCGGACGGGUGAGUAACGCGUGGGAACGUGCCCUCUGGUUCGGAAUAACUCAGGGAAACUUGAGCUAAUACCGGAUACGCCCUUUUGGGGAAAGGCUUGCUGCCGGAGGCUCGGCCCGCGUCUGAUUAGCUAGUUGGUGAGGUAACGGCUCACCAAGGCGACGAUCAGUAGCUGGUCUGAGAGGAUGAUCAGCCACACUGGGACUGAGACACGGCCCAGACUCCUACGGGAGGCAGCAGUGGGGAAUAUUGGACAAUGGGCGCAAGCCUGAUCCAGCCAUGCCGCGUGAGUGAUCAAGGCCUUAGGGUUGUAAAGCUCUUUUAUCCGGGACGAUAAUGACGGUACCGGAGGAAUAAGCCCCGGCUAACUUCGUG
rnacentral:rRNA from 1 species